rnacentral:rRNA from 1 species
UACAUGUGGGGCAAGCGUUGUCCGGAUUUAUUGGGCGUAAAGAGCGUGUAGGCGGUUAGGUAGGUCCGUUGUGAAAACUCGAGGCUCAACCUCGAGACGCCGAUGGAAACCCCCUAACUAGAGUCCGGAAGAGGAGAGUGGAAUUCCUGGUGUAGCGGUGAAAUGCGCAGAUAUCAGGAAGAACACCCGUGGCUAAGGCGGCUCUCUAGUACGGUACUGACGCUGAGACGCGAAAGCGUGGGGAGCGAACAGG